rnacentral:lncRNA from 10 species
ACACCAGACAGUAGACAGAGAACAAGAGGAAGCAGAUUCCAGAAGCAGCAGCUGAGAUCCAGUGGUACAUGUGCAAGUUUGUUGCACAUUGUUGCAUAUUGAUGGGGAUUGGGCUUCUAGUGUAUCCGUCAGCCAAGUAGUGAACAACGAAACCAAUAGGUCGUGGAUUGGAGGCAAUGUUAACAUGCCCCUCCAACUUGGAAAGACAAACUGGUGUGUAGAGAUUUACACUGUGAACUUUUUUUCCAAGCAACAAUGCAGGAACUUAACAGGAACACUGA